UACGGAGGGAGCUAGCGUUGUUCGGAAUUACUGGGCGUAAAGCGCACUAGGCGGCUUUGUAAGUUAGAGGUGAAAGCCCGGGGCUCAACUCCGGAACUGCCUUUAAGACUGCAUCGCUUGAAUCCAGGAGAGGUGAGUGGAAUUCCGAGUGUAGAGGUGAAAUUCGUAGAUAUUCGGAAGAACACCAGUGGCGAAGGCGGCUCACUGGACUGGUAUUGACGCUGAGGUGCGAAAGCGUGGGGAGCAAACAGG
rnacentral:rRNA from 1 species